rnacentral:rRNA from 1 species
GACGUAGGGCGCGAGCGUUGUCCGGAAUUAUUGGGCGUAAAGAGCUCGUAGGCGGUGUGUCACGUCGGCCGUGAAAACUUGCAGCUUAACUGUGGGCGUGCGGUCGAUACGGGCAUCACUGGAGUUCGGCAGGGGAGACUGGAAUUCCUGGUGUAGCGGUGAAAUGCGCAGAUAUCAGGAGGAACACCGGUGGCGAAGGCGGGUCUCUGGGCCGAUACUGACGCUGAGGAGCGAAAGCGUGGGGAGCAAACAGG